rnacentral:rRNA from 1 species
UACGUAGGGUGCGAGCGUUGUCCGGAAUUAUUGGGCGUAAAGAGCUCGUAGGCGGUGUGUCACGUCGGCCGUGAAAACCUGCAGCUUAACUGUGGGCGUGCGGUCGAUACGGGCAUCACUGGAGUUCGGCAGGGGAGACUAGAAUUCCUGGUGUAGCGGUGAAAUGCGCAGAUAUCAGGAGGAACACCGGUGGCGAAGGCGGGUCUCUGGGCCGAUACUGACGCUGAGGAGCGAAAGCGUGGGGAGCAAACAGG